rnacentral:rRNA from 1 species
UACGGAGGGUGCGAGCGUUGUCCGGAAUCACUGGGCGUAAAGGGCGCGUAGGCGGCCUGAUAAGUAGGGGGUGAAAUCCUGCGGCUUAACCGCAGGGCUGCCUUCUAAACUGUCAGGCUAGAGCACGGUAGAGGCAGAUGGAAUUCCCGGUGUAGCGGUGGAAUGCGUAGAGAUCGGGAAGAACAUCAGUGGCGAAGGCGGUCUGCUGGGCCGAUACUGACGCUGAGGCACGAAAGCGUGGGGAGCAAACAGG